GCACAACACGUUCCGAAGGUGACAGUUUGCAAUGUGACUCAGCUAUCUGAACAGUCACCCCAAUGUCAGACAGCUGAGUCACUCUGCAAAUUGUCACCCAAUGCUUCAGUCCCUUCA
rnacentral:precursor_RNA from 14 species